rnacentral:lncRNA from 1 species
CCUGGAUAAUGAAGACGCUGUAGCAUCGUGGCUGGACCCGGCUCGUGACUUCAACGCGCUCAUUCGCUCUCUCACGGUCCAGUCUCCAACGGUACUCGACUGGCACCAGGUGCCAGACUUGGUUGGCAACGUCAAUAAUAAGGGCAAGCAGUGCGUCCUGCCCAUGCAAAAGCCAAAACCACGGCCAACCUUGAUGGAUACAUGGCUGACUCGCUCGAGCAGAUCUGGAGGCGAGGGGCCUAGUACAAGCC